rnacentral:rRNA from 1 species
AUUGAACGCUGGCGGAAUGCUUUACACAUGCAAGUCGAACGGCAGCACGGACUUCGGUCUGGUGGCGAGUGGCGAACGGGUGAGUAAUAUAUCGGAACGUAUCCAAUAAUGGGGGAUAACUAAUCGAAAGGUUGGCUAAUACCGCAUACGCCCUACGGGGAAAGCUAGGGACCUUCGGGCCUGGCGUUAAUGGAGCGGCUGAUAUCUGAUUAGCUAGUUGGUGAGGUAAAGGCUCACCAAGGCGACGAUCAGUAGCUGGUCUGAGAGGACGACCAGCCACACUGGAACUGAGACACGGUCCAGACUCCUACGGGAGGCAGCAGUGGGGAAUUUUGGACAAUGGGCGCAAGCCUGAUCCAGCCAUUCCGCGU